CCCACGGCGCCUAGCGUCAGGAGCCUCUGCAGGAAGCACGAUCUGAGGAAAUUACAGGGCCACCAACUCGGGCAGUGGAAACCUUCGUGGUGCCGAGGGCGUUGGGAGCACCGGGCAGCCAGAGACGCCCACCGCCAAAGCACGCCCAGGAGGCGAGCCUGAGGGGAGAGGCUGCACCCCGCCAGAAAUGUCCGCGCAGGACAGUCUCCCUUGUUGUGAACCGCGGAGAGCAGGGCUGGGAAGCCGCUGGGUUGUGAGGGGCUGCAGUGGGAGGGGCUGCGGGCAUCGCGAUACCCCUGCCUCAGCCGGUGCAGGGCCGGUGAAGGGCUGCAGACGCAGACGACUUUCUCACCCUCCGCCCAUGGACGUGACCCCACGCGCUCCCCAGAAUUCCUCACUGAAGCAGCCUUGCGCCAGCCGCCUCCUGCCUACGUACUUCCGCAGGGGGUGCAAAGGGAAGCCCAUCCUUUGGAAUCCUGGGGGCUCGGGCCACCUCAGAAAAGAAGGGUCCUUUUCAGCGGGACCUCCAGGACAGGUGUCUCCUUCACGCUGACAUCUGACCCUUUGUAGAUGAACGACACUAUCCGGGCGGGGGACCAGGCGGGGUCCUAACACAGCCCCCAGCAGGCUGCAGCGCCUCCUUAGCCUCGUCAUGGGCAAACACGGACAAGGAGAUCAGCAAAACGUGAGCUGGUCUAAGAGGAUCAGUGAGGGAAAGGAGGAGUGCAGCUCAGGGAGAGUAAGACAACAGGCCAGAGCCAACCAAGCCUGGAACAACUUCUAUGUUCAAGAAGGCCCGAGGUCCCCGGCAACCCCAACCCAGGCCUGCCUGAAGGUCCAGCCCCUCAGCGGAGUAGCCAAACUCUGCACCCUUCCCUGCCAGGAAAGUUAGAAACUCAAUUUAAGACCGCAGCUGUGGAUAAAAUAACUUCAAAAUGACUUUUCAUAAUGAUAAUGUACUGUCUGGGUAAUUCCGUUUAAGAAAACAAUUUAAGAAAGCAAACCUAAUUCGUGAGCUGGGGACCUUUUGCUGGCAGACCCCACGCCCCAGAGUCAGGCGUCGGUGGGCUGUCUCAGCCCCAGCUGUCUCCCUGGGCAGGUGCACUGAGACACAAUCGGGGAAUCGCACAAGCCGCUGCCAGACCCCCCGCCUCUCCCAGGGAGCCGCCUCCCUGCUGAAAUUUGCUGUCCCCCGAUG